rnacentral:sRNA from 1 species
GAAACAACAUCAGCAAACUGACAGAUGGGGCCUUCUGGGGACUGUCCAAGAUGCAUGUGCUGCACCUGGAGUACAACAGCCUGGUAGAAGUGAACAGCGGCUCGCUCUACGGCCUCACGGCCCUGCAUCAGCUCCACCUCAGCAACAAUUCCAUCGCUCGCAUUCACCGCAAGGGCUGGAGCUUCUGCCAGAAGCUGCAUGAGUUGUAAGUGUCCUCGGCUCUGGGCUGUGGCAGUGUUUUUAGACACUGCUUGGAGGUGAAAGUGCUAGGCCUGGUUCAUUCCACCAUACAGUGGCCUCGGGGAGGGCUCAGAGACAGGCCAGUAGCCCUGUCCCCAAACCAGCCUGGCCCAGAGUGGGACCCUCAGCGAUUUGAGCCCAAGUCCCUUCCCGAUCUCCCCUUCACUUCCUCUGCAUUUGGAUUAGCAGGGGCUCCAGGAGUAGCAUCUAGGUCCCUGCAGGGAGCCUUGGUCCCCAAGGUCCUGUUGGGUUUGGAGACAGUUCCAGGGGUAGAAAGUUCCUGGAGAAGGGCAGCUAUGGCAGAGUGCUCACAGGAGCCAUUUUGAGAGUGACUGUGUGU